ACAGUGCUUGCUGUAUUGUACUUACUACCUUGCCUUCAUCAGGGAUGGAACUGCAUUUUUGCUAGUUGCUGGCAUUAGAUCUGUACCCAUUCCGCUAAAGACCUGAAAUGAUUUACAGAAGAAUCCCAGUGGUGUAGACGGAUCGUCAGCAUGGCCAGAGAGCGCAUGGACGCGGAAGUUUUCUGUGGAUUUCCAGAGUUGCUACAGGAGAAGAUGAGAAAGGCCAAGAUUGCUACUGGCACUGUCCCUUCUGUGCUAUUAUCUGUGGAUGUGAUUUGCUCCAGCUCUCAAACAGACAACUGUCUGCAUGAUGGUGUGGGGACGAAGCCAGCACCCAAAGCCACCAGACUCCCUCAAGUGGAAGGGCCGUGAUCACUCUCCUGUCACUCCUAAAGGAGAAAAUGUAUGCAAUUCAGACUCUGCGACCCAGCCGGGGUAAACCAAGUAGCACCUGAACUCUCUUCCAGCAGUCAGAAGAAACCACAUUUGCAAUGUUUCUGAGAUUUGUCAGAAUUGGAAGGACUAAACCCGAGGAAGAUAAUGGGUGUGGAAAUGGGGAAUGGAGCCCUCUGAAUAGAAGGCUGCAUAUUUCCUUGGGCAGCACACUGUAAUUCAGGACGUCCACAGGCAGAUGCUGUUCUGGCGGCUACUCCCCUGGGCCCUCCCGGGGACUCAUUUGUGCAGUGUGUACAGCACAGCGCCCUCUGGCGGGUUUAUCUGGCACUACCAACACAGGAUGGCUCUGCCGCAAAUGAACUCUAAAUCAGAAAGACCCAGAAAUCAGCCCUGGCAAGACUUUUCAUAUGACUUGGUGUCACAUGUCCAUUUGGAGCCCCAUGUACCCACACUUUAAAUUGUCACUUGUAAUAUGUCAACAAGGGACAGAAGGGUCCACGGGGCACCUUAUAGAGG
rnacentral:lncRNA from 1 species